rnacentral:snRNA from 1 species
ACAUGUGAAGGUGAUCUGGCUCUGACAUCUGUCACCUCAUUGAUCCGCCAGGGUUGAUUUGGCUGAUCUGGCUAGGCGGGUGUCCCCUUCCUCCCUCACUGCUGUAUGUGUGUCCCUCCCAAAGCUGUGUACUCAGUCAAAGUGGACAACCAUCUCCAAUAGAGAAGGACCAGUCUUCAGCCAAGGGUAUAGAGUAGCUGUGCUGCCUGCUAGAACCUCCAGACAAGCUCUCAAGAUUCAACAUAUUCAUGCAUGCAGUGGAGUUUUUUUGAAGGCUUUCUCUAGGCCAGACCCU